rnacentral:rRNA from 1 species
UACGUAGGGUGCGAGCGUUGUCCGGAUUUAUUGGGCGUAAAGAGCUCGUAGGCGGCUUGUCGCGUCGUCCGUGAAAACUUGGGGCUCAACCCCAAGCUUGCGGUCGAUACGGGCAGGCUAGAGUUCGGUAGGGGAGACUGGAAUUCCUGGUGUAGCGGUGAAAUGCGUAGAUAUCUGGAGGAACACCGGUGGCGAAGGCGGCAUCCUGGACCGAUACUGACGCUGAGGAGCGAAAGCCAGGGGAGCAAACGGG